UUAUGCAAAAGCAGACUGUACUUCAUAGACCUGGAAACAUAGUUUGUUCCAUCCAACCAGGUUAUCAGUGAUAGACUUGUUGACGGAUCU